rnacentral:miRNA from 1 species
AAUAUCCUUUUAACAAAUUAUGCGUAUUUAAGAAGAUAGCUCUGCGCAUGCGCAGAGCGUAACUCCUUACGCUUGCAUUUUUUGGUAAGACGAUGUUAACAAAAGUUGUUCGUCUUGAUGAUGGCUACAACUUUGCUUAAUAUCCUUUUAACAAAUUAUGCGUAUUUAAGAAGAUAGCGCUGCGCAUGCGCAGAGCGUAACUCCUUACGCUUGCAUUUUUUGGUAAGACGAUGUU